GGGUGCGUAACGCGUAUACAAUCUACCUUUCGCUGAGGGAUAGCCCAGAGAAAUUUGGAUUAAUACCUCAUGGUAUUAUUGAUAGGCAUCUAUUAAUAAUUAAAGGUUACGGCAAAAGAUGAGCAUGCGUCCCAUUAGUUAGUUGGUAAGGUAACGGCUUACCAAGACAGCGAUGGGUAGGGGCCCUGAGAGGGGGAUCCCCCACACUGGUACUGAGACACGGACCAGACUCC
rnacentral:rRNA from 1 species